rnacentral:rRNA from 1 species
AGUGAACGCUGGCGGUAGGCCUAACACAUGCAAGUCGAACGGCGGCACAGUAAGAGCUUGCUCUUACGGGUGGCGAGUGGCGGACGGGUGAGGAAUACAUCGGAAUCUACUUUUUCGUGGGGGAUAACGUAGGGAAACUUACGCUAAUACCGCAUACGACCUACGGGUGAAAGCAGGGGAUAUUCGGACCUUGCGCGAUUGAAUGAGCCGAUGUCGGAUUAGCUAGUUGGCGGGGGAAAAGCCCACCAAGGCGACGAUCCGUAGCUGGUAUGAGAGGCUGAUCAGCCACACUGGAACUGAGACACGGUCCAGACUCCUACGGGAGGCCGCAGUGGGGAAUAUUGGACAAUGGGCGCAAGCCUGAUCCAGCCAUACCGCGGGGGUGAAGAAGGCGUUCGGGUUGUAAAGCCCUUUUGUUGGGAAAGAAAAGCAGCAGGUUAAUACCCCGCUGUUCUGACGGUACCCAAAGAAUAAGCACCGGCUAACUUCGUG